UCCUAAUUUUGAUAUUCAAAAAAUUUAGUUUUGCGUCUUUUCUAUAUCCGCGUCGUACAACCCUAAGCUACAAACCACUCACUAUAAGUGCUUCCGUCCUCUGUCUCCUACUCCUCCUCCCAUAGGUCGUGCCUUUAACGUAUGCCUCUUCUCGCUCAUUGCGCCGUCGUCGUGUCUCCGGUGCGCAACCCUUGUUGCGCGAAUCGGCUUCCUCUCUGACCUUACUGUCGUGUGCAGCCGCCUUUCUCGUCGUGCGUCCUCCCUCGUUGCACUGACCGGAUCGGUUGAUUCGACUGAGUUAACCGAAAAUCGGUCCUCUAGCGUUUAAAACUGUCCUGCAAAAAAUUGGUGAUAAAGCCGGACGAAUCGACAGUUAACCGAUGAACUGAUGGAACUGGCCCGGUUUUUUUUGGGUUACUGGUUUAUAUAUAUAUAUAUAUAAAACCCACAAAACCCACCCCCACCCCUUUCUCUCUCUGACUUUGAGGACCCAACCCUAAUCCCUUUUCUCAUCCGCCGCCUUCUUUGCCAAACUCACGUCCACCGCUGUCUCACUGACGCCUUCGAAUAUUUUCCAGUCGUCGUCCCCACUGCUCAAGCUCGUCUCCUCUGUCUCGGCUGUUGUCUUCUCGACGUUGCUAGAAGUCGUGGACGGAGCUGUUGGUGUCGUAGUCUCCGUCGUUGUCGGCCCUGAAAUCGCCGUCUCUGUCCUAGCGUCAAGCCUCUAUCUUCGAGUCCCUUCUCUCCCUCUCUCUAUCUCUCUCUCU